rnacentral:misc_RNA from 1 species
UUAAUUGUAAUGUAUAGAGGGCGCUCCAGUCAAUACAUCCAUUAUACAUUGUUGUGAAAUGCCAAGUUCUCAGUCAACGUUGGUAUAGCAAUAAACAGUAACUAUGGAUACUCGGACUCCAACAUUUGUUAUGUUUGAUUCAAGUGCUCAUCAAAUGAAAUGGGGCCAGCACAUAAUGGACAGUCUUCAAUCACUGCGAGAAGAGGCUUUAUUCUGCGACAUUAAGAUCAAAGUUGAAGAGCGGGAAUUUCCUGCGCACAAAAUUGUUUUGUCGGCAGCAAGUGAAUAUUUCCGUGCCAUGUUCACAGGUGGACUCAAAGAAUCCUCGCAAGAUAUGAUUGAAUUUCAAGAAGAGACCGAUGUCUGUGCCGAGUCUUUUGAAUUGAUUCUCAAUUUUGCGUAUUCUUCGCAUCUUGCAUUAACCCCAGAAAACGUAUUUGACGUUCUUGCUGCUGCAAACCAUUUGAGUAUGCCCAUUGCAGUUACACAGUGCAUUGAUUAUAUCGAACACUGCUUCCUUCAUGAAAAGUUCAACUUUGAGGAUUUUCUAAAAAUAUCUGAAAUGGCAAAUAAUUUUGAUUUGAAAAGUCUACGAGAGACAGCUGAUAGGUACAUCACACGGAACUUUGUAGAGGUUUGCGAGACUGAAGAUUUCUUAGAAUAUAUGACGGCGAGACGCUUAGCUAGUUUUUUGCAGAAAGAAGACUUGGCUGUUAGUGGAGAAUAUCCGAUUUUGAAAGCUGUUAUAAACUGGAUUCGACACGACAAAGAAACCCGUUUACAUCACUCAGCCAUGCUCCUUAAGAAGGUACGAUUAGGGCUGCUGACGGCACAGGAGAUUGUAGAAGCAUUUGAUCGAGACAUUUUAACAGUACCUCAAUGUAAACUGCUGUAUGAUCAGCUGAUGCAACACCAUGCAACGGCAAAGGCUGUUACGGGACCGCUUUUCGCUCAACUUCCACAGUUGUUUGCACCAAGACUUUCUUCAAAGUCUAUGGUAGCAAUUGGAGGACACACAUCGAUGAGUUUCGUACGGCAGUAUAAUGCAAAUACCAAAGCAUGGGAACCUCUAAAGAACUUUGCGCAGUUGCCAUAUCAGACAGUGAUCAACCACACCGCUGUUGUAGUCGGUGAACACCUAUUCAUCGCAGGUGGUGAAUACAUCAACUCUGGUAAAAAUGCCACCAGGAACUACUUUUUUGUCUACAAUGCAAAAGGCAACAAGUGGUCCAGUUUGCCACCCAUGAAAGUUGAGAGAAAAAGUUUCUCACUAGUCCAUCACGAAGGAUUUAUCUAUGCAAUUGGUGGCCUUGAUAAAGAUGAUAACCCACUUCGUUCGGUGGAGCGUUACGAUCUUGCUCGCAGUAAAUGGGUUUGCGUCGCUGCAUUGGAUGAAGCCCGCUACAACACAACCGCCAUUCUAUUCCAUAACAAGAUCCAUAUUUUCAAAGGACACGGUCAGGUUCGCUACACUUGUUUCGAUCCAGAACUCAACUCAUGGUUACCAGAGAAACGAUUAGGAUUAAAUUCAAAUCGACAGGUAGACUUGUACAUCAAAGAUGAGAAACUCUACUCUGUGUGUUACAAGUCCGUGCCAAGUAGGGUGUAUGGAUCUCAACAAUGGGAUUUGUGUCCAUCAGUAGUGGAGCAUCUGUUGGAUGAAUCUGGCACAGUCCAUUCAGGAAUGUACAUCUCCCAAGACCAAAGUCUUAUACCAGAGAAUGGUAUUGGUGCGUUUAGAAUUGGCGAUAGGGUAUACUUCUUUGUGAAUGGCUUCUGUUUUGAUAGCCAUCUAAGUACAAGUGCUACUCAGGUGUAUGAUAUUGAGUUGGAAGACUGGGAGACGCUCUGCCAUGGAAUAAGUGGGGCGGCAAUCUCUCUGUUGCCUCUUCGUCUUGGGUUAUUAACCCAUUAACACACUUUUAAGAUUCAUUUCAUCAAAUACAAUGUAUGGUCUCAAUUGAAUUCCAAAAGAGAAAAUUACUUUACAACCCAAAAUUAAAACAGUUUAAAGCUCUGUCCAAACUAUCAAAUUUCAUUUGACAAAGAACUGGUAUAUGCCCAUAUAUAGUCAUGAUGUGCCUAUAUAUGAUCAUUAUAUGAUGUCAUCAUUACCAUAUUUAGGCAUGUCACAUGUUUUUGUCAAAUAAAAUUGGAUAGUCUUGACAAGGCUUAUUAGAGUUGAAAUUAUGUUCGGCAUUAUAUUAGUUGUUGUGGAUAAACAAAUGUAUUAAUUUUUUUUUUUUUUUCAAACCAACAAUUUGAUUUGUGUCAUAAACUGGACACAACCCAAAAUCAUCGACAGAGAAGCUGACACAAAUGCCGGAUGUAUAAAAAAAACUAUGAAUCCAGAGAUGAGGGCACCCACUACCUAAGUGAAGUAUAUGACCUUUUUGGACAGAAUUUGACCUCUAGGGGUCAAUCUUUCUAGUGACAGAUAGUCUGUAGUGAAAGGAAAGUGAAAGUGUCAAGGAUAGUGAAAUCAGAUUAUUGGUAUGAAAACAAUAAUUGUUAAUACCUGUACUGUACAUUAUAUUAGUUGAAUUGUGUCGUUAUAUGUUGUAGCCAUACUUCCACAGUAAUUUAUUUUAAUGGUCAUAUAGACUUGUGUCAAACAGAAAGCGGACAUUUCAGGAUGAUAAUAUUUGUCCACGGGGAAAAAAGGGGGUCACUAAAGUGUACUGUAUUAUGUGAACAUAUGGACUGUUCUUACUGUGUUAAGCAUUGAGAUUCAAAUUUUAAUAACAGUAUAAAAAUAAGUAUUGAAAAUAUUAACUUCUAUGUUAUAUGCAAGUUUUAGAACAUUUCAGUAUUUACAUAGUUGCUAUAAUUGUAAUGGUUUGUUUUGAGUUGAAUUCAAGCUUCCGUUUCCUCUAGUACGGUAAUCAGUUUAGUAGUGAUUCUGUGGUUUAGUUCUAUGUUGAAAUAAGAUAUCUUCUAACUGGAAUAUUAAGUGUUUUUCUGUGGCCAGAUUCCUGAAAAAACUAAAAGAUGAUUAUUGUUUAUUGAAGACAUAAAUUUGUAUUAGUAGGCUAUAGUUAAUUGUAUUAAAAACAGGAAAUUAUAAAACAUAAAUUAGCCAACAUCAAAACAGAUUGAAGAAUGGUUUCACUCAGCAGUGAGUAGAAAAUAUAAUUUAAUAAGUUGAUUAAUGAUUUUCUAUGUAUCCAAAAGCAAUUGUCAAUUACAAGAUGGAAUUAUGCCAAAAUAAAACUUUUUGAUGCCCAAGCUCAUCUCAAAA